CAGAGUCAGAAUCAGCUUUAUUGGCCAGGGUGAGCAACUUGGGAACUCAAGUGUCUUCGUUACUUGCAGCUUAAGUCAUUUAAACAACACAGCACAAUUGGAUUUGAUGAUCCUGUCAUGUCUUCUGAGGAGCACGUGUGGGCUGGCGUCGAAGUGAAGGAGACGUUAUGCGGCUG